AGAGAUUUUGAAAUUAAAGAAUGAAAAGAGGAGAUGAAGAGACUAUCCUAAUUUUUUUUUAAAAGUUUAGAGUUGAAAAGAUAUGAUCAAUGGGAUAUAAUCCACAAGACAAGAAUGUCAAAUAGAAACGCAUUUCCUUUAGACUAUUUGUCAUACCCCGAUUUUGUCCGAACAUUUUUGUACCACAAUGCAUGCAUCAUAACUUCUUGGCAUUUUUU
rnacentral:lncRNA from 1 species